UACACACCGCCCGUCACAUCAUGGGAGUUGGUUUUACCCGAAGUCGCUGGCCCAACCGCAAGGGGGGAGGCGCCUAAGGUGAGGCUGAUGACUGGGAUG
rnacentral:rRNA from 1 species